rnacentral:sRNA from 1 species
UAGAUAGACUUCUUCUGCUGCCAUCAUC